AUGAAGGUGAGGUACUUCAGAUUGCCUAUUUGUGGAGAAAGCUGCCCAGAUAAAUUAUUGCCAGCUAACCGCAGUGCUGUCAGAUUGCUGCAAGAGUAUAAGCUUUCUGGAACUUUGCCGCUGAAGUUGUUCAAGAAAACAUCUAAUGUUCUUAGAUUGGGAAGGAGGGAGAAAUUGACCUUUCUCCUCCAAUUUCUUGAGCUGUCCUAUAGAAACUGGAAUCUUGCCGCUGAAGCUGUUCCUUCCAAGAUCAAGGGUUACAAGAUUUCUGAGGUUGGUUAUAUCUGUACCAUCGAUAGCUCCAUGUAA
rnacentral:rRNA from 1 species